rnacentral:rRNA from 1 species
CCCUCGUCGUAUGUUAUAUGUGUCAUACGAGACUGCCGGUAAAAAGACCGGAGGAAGGUGAGGAUGAUGUCAAGUCAGCAUGACCUUUAUAUCCAGGGCUACACACACGCUACAAUGGUCUGUACAAUGGUAGCCAAGCCGCGAGGCGGAGCCAAUCCUGAAAGCAGGCCUCAGUUCAGAUUGCAGUCUGCAACUCGACUGCAUGAAGCCGGAGUUGCUAGUAACCGCAGGUCAGCAAUACUGCGGUGAAUACGUUCCCGGGUCCUU